CAUCAUGACAACAAGGCAGUUACUGACAGGAGAAGCUGAGAGGAGAUGUCAUUUGUAAAUGAAGGCCAACUAUGAGUGGUUUCCUCUGACAUAGGACCACUGAAGAGGUAAUCAUGAAGUCAACCAGAACAGUUCUGCAGAAGCCCAAGCUCUGACUAAGUGUCCUGCAGAUCUGUGGCUACCAAUGCAGUCAGCAGAAAGGCAUUAAACUGGACAUGUAGCCCUAUCUACCUCAUCAACCUGAGCUGCACACCUGGCUAAGAAACGUAACUCACCUUUGGCACUGGCCAGAACUGAAACAAGCUGGUGCCAAACUCACAUUGUCCUUACUCAUGCUGAACUUUCGGUGGACAAGAAUAAAUCUUCUCCAUGACUAA